rnacentral:misc_RNA from 1 species
GAUGAAGAACGCAGCGAAAUGCGAUAAGUAGUGUGAAUUGCAGAAUUCAGUGAAUCAUCGAAUCUUUGAACGCACAUUGCGCCCCUUGGUAUUCCAUGGGGCAUGCCUGUUCGAGCGUCAUUUGUACCUUCAAGCUUUGCUUGGUGUUGGGUGUUUGUCUCGCCUUUGCGUGUAGACUCGCCUUAAAAUAAUUGGCAGCCGGCGUAUUGAUUUCGGAGCGCAGUACAUCUCGCGCUUUGCACUCAUAACGACAGCGUCCAAAAGUACAUGUUACACUCUUGACCUCGGAUCAGGUAGGGAUACCCGCUGAACUUAAGCAUAUCAAUAAGCGGAGGA